rnacentral:tRNA from 1 species
AGAAAGAAUCUUGGAACUGCUAAUUCCAAACUCCCAUAGAUAACACUAUGGCUUUCUU